rnacentral:rRNA from 1 species
UACGGGGGGGGCAAGCGUUGUUCGGAAUUACUGGGCGUAAAGGGCUCGUAGGCGGCCAACUAAGUCAGACGUGAAAUCCCCCGGCUUAACCAGGGAACUGCGUCUGAUACUGGAUGGCUUGAGUUUGGGAGAGGGAUGCGGAAUUCCAGGUGUAGCGGUGAAAUGCGUAGAUAUCUGGAGGAACACCGGUGGCGAAGGCGGCAUCCUGGACCAUGACUGACGCUGAGGAGCGAAAGCCAGGGGAGCAAACGGG